GUAGGUGGCAAGCGUUGUCCGGAUUUACUGGGCGUAAAGCGCGUGUAGGGCGGGUGCGCUAAGUCCGGUGUGAAAUCUCCCGGCCUAACUGGGAGGGGCCCAUCGGAUACUAACGCGCUAGAGGGGGGCAGAGGAAGGUGGAAUUCCAGGUGUAGCGGUGAAAUGCGUAGAUAUCGGGAGGAACACCAGUGGCGAAGGCGGCCUUCUGGGCCCACCCUGACGCUGAGGCGCGAAAGCGUGGGGAGCGAACCGGAUUAGAUACCCGGGUAGUCCACGCCCUAAACGUUGGACACUAGGUGUGGGGGGUGUCGACCCCCUCUGUGCCGUAGCUAACGCAUUAAGUGUCCCGCCUGGGGAGUACGGCCGCAAGGCUA
rnacentral:rRNA from 1 species